rnacentral:lncRNA from 1 species
GCAAAGCAAUGAAGGCUUGAAGGCUGUGUAACAAUCGAGGUCCCACUUCUGAGCUUCUCUUCCACCGAACAGACCCCGAGACCUCAGACGAGCGAGAGUGAGAAAGUGAGAAGGUGCGGGAGGGGAGCUCGACCCCGGCCGCCUUCAGACCGUUGGGCCGUUAACACCGCUCAGGCAACGCGGACCCGGGCGGGAGGUUCGGCGCCUUCUUCCCCAGCGGCACCGGACCCAGCCCGUGAUCACGGGGCACGGCGUGCCCGUCGAGUGAGGAGCGCCCUGGCCAGAUGAGCCACUCGCAAGGCCCCAAAGUGCAUUUGCAGCCACAGCCACCACUUCCAAAUCCUGGAAGCCCGCUCUGCAUCGCCGCAUUCAUGAGGCGCCUGACCCGAAAAAAAUUCACAGAACUCUAGGCGCAAAAAUGAUACAUCUCGGUAAUUUAUCGGCUAUUAGUACACCUAGA